rnacentral:ncRNA from 21 species
AAUACCGUGACCAGCGACGGUUCCCGAAAGGGAUCAAUAGGGAACGCGGUGCGGGCUUUAGGGCUCUAUUCCGCGGCUGCCCCCGCAACUGUAAGCGGCGAGCCAUUCGCCACACGCCACUGGGCUUUCGUCCUGGGAAGGCGGUGAACGGCAACGACCCGCGAGCCAGGAGACCUGCCGUCAGUCGUGGUCACACG